rnacentral:tRNA from 1 species
GCCCCGGUAGCUCAGCCUGGUUGGAGCGCCCAGGGGUCGCUUACCCCGCGUAAGCCUUGUAAGGAUCCAGGCGAGCGGGAGGUCCCGGGUUCGAAUCCCGGCCGGGGCUCCA